CUCUCACGUGCCACCCACAAAUCCCAGAGGAGUUCAAGAUCAAUCCUUCUCGAAGAGCCAUUGCACAACUCAGGGAGCAGAUGGCAGAGGAGAUGCUUGAGCAAUCAGUUUCCAAGGAGGACUUCUGUUCCUUUUGUGGACAGAGGACAUUACUGCAGCCUCAGUCAGAAGAAAUUCUUUGGAUCCAGUGUGAAAGGUGUGAGAGAUGGUUUCACACAGCCUGUUUGUCCAUGGACACAAAGGACAUUUCUCGCAUCCCUGUAUGGAUGUGUGAACUCUGCAGAUAAAGAAAAGGAC